CGCAGCCGCGGUAAUUCCAGCUCCAAUAGCGUAUAUUAAAGUUGUUGCAGUUAAAAAGCUCGUAGUUGAAUUUCGGGAUUGGCGCAUCGGUCGUGCCUCACGGGGUAUGAACUGGUGCAGUCAAUUCCUCACCUUCUGGAGAACCGCGAUGUCCUUAAUUGGGUGCCGCGGGGAACCAGGACCUUUACUUUGAAAAAAUUAGAGUGUUUAAAGCAGGCAUUUUUGCUUGAAUACAUUAGCAUGGAAUAAUAAAAUAGGACGGCAUGGUUCUAUUUUGUUGGUUUCUAGGACCACCGUAAUGAUUAAUAGGGAUAGUUGGGGGCAUUAGUAUUCAAUUGUCAGAGGUGAAAUUCUUGGAUUUAUUGAAGACUAACUACUGCGAAAGCAUUUGCCAAGGAUGUUUUCAUUAAUCAAGAACGAAAGUUAGGGGAUCGAAGACGAUCAGAUACCGUCGUAGUCUUAACCAUAAACUAUGCCGACUAGGAAUCAGACGAUGUUAAUUUUUAAUGUACUCGUUUGG
rnacentral:rRNA from 1 species